UGAGGAAUAUUGGACAAUGGGUGGAAGCCUGAUCCAGCCAUCCCGCGUGAAGGAUGACGGUCCUAUGGAUUGUAAACUUCUUUUGUACAGGGAUAAACCUGCCCUCGUGAGGGCAGCUGAAGGUACUGUACGAAUAAGCACCGGCUAACUCCGUGCCAGCAGCCGCGGUAAUACGGAGGGUGCGAGCGUUAUCCGGAUUUAUUGGGUUUAAAGGGUCCGUAGGCGGGCCUGUAAGUCAGUGGUGAAAUUUCAUAGCUUAACUAUGAAACUGCCAUUGAUACUGCAGGCCUUGAGUAAAUUUGAAGUGGCUGGAAUAAGUAGUGUAGCGGUGAAAUGCAUAGAUAUUACUUAGAACACCGAUUGCGAAGGCAGGUCACUAAGAUUUAACUGACGCUGAUGGACGAAAGCGUGGGGAGCGAACA
rnacentral:rRNA from 1 species